AUUUNNUGGGCGCAGCCUGAUGGAGCGACNCCGCGUGGGGGAUGAAGGGUUUCGAUCCNUCNACCCCUGUCAUUUGCGAACAAUGGUCUAUUGAUAACACCAGUAGGCUUGAUAGUNGCNGAAGAGGAAGGGACGGCUAACUCUGUGCCAGCAGCCGCGGUAAUACAGAGGUCCCAAGCGUUGUUCGGAUUCACUGGGCGUAAAGGGUGCGUAGGUGGCCGGGAAAGUUCGGUGUGAAAGCUCGGAGCUCAACUCCGAAAUGGCAUUGAAUACUAUCUGGCUUGAGGGUCGGAGGGGAGACUGGAAUUCUCGGUGUAGCAGUGAAAUGCGUAGAUAUCGAGAGGAACACCAGUGGCGAAGGCGAGUCUCUGGACGACACCUGACACUGAGGCACGAAAGCUAGGGGAGCAAACAGGAUUAGAUACCCUGGUAGUCCUAGCUGUAAACGGUGCACGUUUGCUGUGAGAGGAAUCGACCCCUUUUGUGGCGAAGCUAACGCGCUAAACGUGCCGCCUGGGGAGUACGGUCGCAAGAUUAAAACUCAAAGAAAUUGACGGA
rnacentral:rRNA from 1 species